ACCGAAUCGAAGCGAUCCAAGCCCAAUGACCAAAUACCAGAAACCAAUUCAAGUAGCUCGUGCAGUUCACCUUAAUGCGCCCCUCGGCAUUCGGCAUUCGACAUUCAACAUUCGGCACUCGACGGGGGACAGGAAACUGCAGCUCCAAGUGACCGCCACUGCAACUGCAUUUCGGACUCGAGAUUGGCCAGUUAUCUGCUGUCAGUCUGCCUACUCCUCCUCUUCCUUCUGCCCAGUUGCUCUGUCCAGCAGAUAGCUACCCGUCAUUGUCCGGAGGCACGAGUUCGAUUAGUUGCUAGGGAAAGGUGUGCACUGACAGAAAAAAGCACUAGUGUACUGUUUGCCUUUGACCGGACGUUAAUUGGAUCACCCCAGCUGGACCCCAGUAGGAUCUACUCCCGGUUCCCAAUCUUGGCAGCUGUCUGCCGAACGACGCCCGCUGGGCACACAUGUCCUCCUGAUGUGUCCUCCUUUGAUUGCCUACUAAUCCUGGCCAUCGAUGCUCGGGCGACAAUCGAAGUAAACAGCCAGACAAAUGGGCAAACAAAUGAGCCGGGGCGUGUGUCCUUAAACGAGCCAAAUUGGAUCAUAACUGCGAAAUCCGAAAUGCGAAAUGCUCAAAUGGUGAAUGCUGUAUAACUGAAAUGCUGAAAUCUGUGCAAACAGCGCUCUAAUUAAGUCCUGCGGAGAGGGUCCACCCAUAAAAAGGACCUCGCUCCAAAUAGCCGACUAUUAAAGCUGGACAAUGGGGGCGCGUGUUUUCUGAAUUGCGUCACUAGAGUGCUAACUUGGAUCGGGAAUAGAACAUUUUGGGGGAAGAACAUAUGUAACUGACGUCAGCUGCUUUCGAGAAUGUCGCAAAAUAACCUUUCUCAAAAGUAAGGAAGUUGAAUUAAAAAUUCGCUAUUUCUAAUUUUAUUGUAAUACUAAAAAUGAUAAACAUUUCGGGGGAAGUCUGUAACUGACGUCAGCUGGUUUCAGAAGUGACGCAAAGUAACCUUUCUCAAAAGUGAGGAAGUUGAAUUAGAAAUUCGCUAUUUCUAACUUUAUUGUAAUACUCAUUUUGAAAAUGAAAAACAUUUCGGGGGAAGUCUGUAACUGACGUCAGCUGGUUUCGGAAGUGACGCAAAGUAACCUUUCUCAAAAGAGAGGAAGUUGAAUUAGAAAUUGGCUCAUUUUGAAAAAGGGAAAACUAAAAACUUUUAACUCAGAUAAGACGAAAUGAUUCAUGUGUCAAAACUAGGGAGUAGAAGGCCUUGGGAACCUUGGAAUCGAUCCACUGAAACCAGGCUCGCGAUAAGACCAAGACCAGAAGUGCCCAAAAGCGUGUAGGCGUUUCCCAUGUGUAUUUGACCCCUCGAGCUGCCCAGAUUUCGGAACCCAUUCUCCGAUGGCAUCAGCAACAGAAACAACGCAAUAUCAGCAAGCUGGGCUUAUAAUGGGGGCGAAACUACCGAUCGAAGCCACUCACAGCCACCAGAAUCAACAGAACCAGCACCAGAGCACCAGAGCACAACAACCAGAACCAGAGCCACCAGCUCCACAUUGAAAUAUAAUUGGUCCCAUGGGCACCUACUUAUCGGCAGGAAUGUUCGUUUUUAAUUGCCCCGCUUUGUCGAAAUACAAUUUGCCUUUGUAAAAUUUAA